GCUGCUGGCGGCGCGGGCAGGGCUGGGCGGGCGAGUCCCGGUGCGGAGCCCGCUCUGCCGCCAUCACAGCCGCGCUGGGGGCAGCUCCAGCCUCAGCACCGUCACAUCGAGCCGCGGCGGCAGGAGAAGGGGCUGAGCCUGGCCCAGCUCAGCCUGCGCUGGAGCCGCCGCUCUGCCCUCUCCGCCCCUCCAUGCCCUGCCUCGGGCUCGGCUCCAGCAGCCCCGGGGCAUCUCCCGGCUGCCCGGGCCGCGCCUGGGAGGCUCCCCGCCAACUUUGCCAGGAAGCUGCAGUUGUCCAGGCCCCCACGUCCCUCCCCACAGUGCCACUUGCAAGGGGAGCCCGGGCCUCCUUCGCCAACCUUCUCCAAGCAGGUUGGGCAAGACCUGGAACAGCCGCGCCGCCAAGGAAAGGCCCUUUGCACUCCCCUUCCAUUUGGUGCAACUCCUCAAGUGAAACUUCUUGACUGGGAAGAGAAAUGACUCAUCCCUGCUCUGUAAGAGUGGCACAUCUGUGAUGACAGGUGAGUAAUGUGGUUGUCCCCUAUAAGGCUCAUCAGCAUCUGAACUGUUGGGGAGAAGUAGCAGCUCUUUGAAAGUUAAA
rnacentral:lncRNA from 1 species